rnacentral:rRNA from 1 species
GACGAACGCUGGCGGCGUGCUUAACACAUGCAAGUCGAACGCUGAAGGCCUGGCUUUUGUUGGGUUGGAUGAGUGGCGAACGGGUGAGUAACACGUGAGUAACCUGCCCUCUUCUGUGGGAUAACGCCCGGAAACGGGAGCUAAUACUGGAUAUUCUCUUAUCUUUGCUGGUUGGUUGGUGGAAAGGUUUUUUGUUGUGGGGGAUGGGCUCGCGGCCUAUGCGCUUGUUGGUGGGUUGAUGGCCUACGAAGGGGUUGACGGGUGGCCGGCCGGAGAGGGUGACCGGGGAAAUUGGGAAUGAGAUAGGGCCCAAAAGCCGACGGAAGGAGGCAGUGGGGAGAAUUGCGCGAAGGGUUAAAGCAUGAUCGCGCGGCGACGCGUGAGGGAUGGAGGCCUUCAGGAUGUAAACCUCUUGCGAGAAUGCUUACGCCGGAACUGAGGCUUGUGGUGAGGGUAGUGAGUAAAAAAGCGCCGGCUAACUACGUG